GUUAUCCAAGUUAGAAUGAGAAUAAAAUGAGUGAAAUGUGACAGCACGUACUGGUGUGGCCUGCCCCAGAUACAACCAGGGCUGUUUCCAUUUUGGACUGUAU